UCGGGAAUAUUGCGCAAUGGAGGAAACUCUGACGCAGUGACGCCGCGUGCAGGAAGAAGGUUUUCGGAUUGUAAACUGCUUUAGACAGGGAAGAAAAAGACAGUACCUGUAGAAUAAGCUCCGGCUAACUACGUGCCAGCAGCCGCGGUAAUACGUAGGGAGCGAGCGUUAUCCGGAUUUAUUGGGUGUAAAGGGUGCGUAGACGGGACAACAAGUUAGUUGUGAAAUCCCACGGCUUAACUGUGGAACUGCAACUAAAACUAUUGUUCUUGAGUGUCGGAGAGGAAAGUGGAAUUCCUAGUGUAGCGGUGAAAUGCGUAGAUAUUAGGAGGAACACCGGUGGCGAAGGCGACUUUCUGGACGAUAACUGACGUUGAGGCACGAAAGUGUGGGGAGCAAACAGGAUUAGAUACGU
rnacentral:rRNA from 1 species